ensembl:lncRNA
GAUCUCAUAAAUCAGAAGAUCGAAUAUUUAAAUGAAAUAAUUAGAAUGAAAAAUUGAACUCAGUGCUUGUAGUAAACAAAGAAAUAUAAUAAUAAUAAUAAUAACAAUAAUGAUAUAAUGGGCACAUCUGGACAUUACCUGUCUUGUGUAAAACCCUUUCCACUGAUGCAUUAUCAUUUCUCUUGUAAUUUUCAGCUCAACAUGAGUGCAUUUUAUGCAGUUGGAGGUGUGAUGGAUUUUUCCCUUAAAUAUAUGGAAAACGUCACCUCGGUUUCAGCGUAGCGUUGUGAAGACGGUGUCCAAGAGAACAGAGGUCCUAUUGACGGAUUACUCUUUGUACCUGAGUAGUGUUAUUUAUUGCCUUAGUCUUUGGGUUGUGCAAACCAUCGCUUUUUUAUCACGUUAUCCAGAUCUUUCUACAACCAGU